AGUAAAGAUUAAAUGUGCUUCUCAAAGGCAGCCACUUCAUGCUGCUAUGUCGAAAGGGCCAUUAUUAUUAUUAUAUUUUAAUGGUAAAAGAGAAAAGGAGAGAGGUUGAGCGAGCGAGAGAGAAGCUAGGUGUGAUGAUGACAGACUAGCUUUUCUGAGAGGAAAAGGAAAAGGGAAGGGAGAGAAAAAGGAGAGCCUCUGAGCUCAACGGAGGAUUGUGCCUGAGAAGAACCCACAGAGAUACAGUUAAGCUAAUGAUCUCGAGAGGAUAUCGUCCUGGAUAAGGGUGGAGCCUACGCCCAAAAACAAGAUUACCUGAAAGAGAAAAGAAAGGGGGAAAACACACAGAGAUACAGUCGGGGAGGCCACAUGAAGAUGGAGGCAGAGACAGGAGUGAUGAGCCUGCAAGCCAAGGAAUGCCAAGGGCUGCCAGCAGCCAUGAGAAGCUGAGAGACACAGAGAACGAGUCCUCUGCCAGAGCCUCCAGAAGGAACUAACCCUGUCAAUACCUUGAUUUCGGACUUCUGGACUCCAGAACUAUAACCCUCCUUCCUCCACCUCACAAAAACUCACAAGCUGCAACCCUUCUGAUGUCCACUCCCACACAAACCAGCUUCAGGCCUUUUUCAAGUGGAUGCUGUGGGGCACCACCUCCUUGAGGACCAAGGCACUCCAGCUGCCAGGAAUUUGGCUGCUAACCUCACACAGCUGAGCCUUCCAUGAAAAUUGCUCUCUGCCAAAGAGAACUUCCUAGUCCAAGGUCAUGUCUACUCUCCAGAGAUGUGACUGGAGUGAUUUGCACCCGGAUGCCUAGACUCGCCAUCUGCUCAAAGACUGCUCAGAAAGCCCUCCCAUGCAUUCCCCUGCUGCAUACCAGCCCACUCUGCCUGCAGCUGCUGUCUGCAGGACUUCAUAUCUAUGCCACACUGUGUAAAAGCUGUGCUUCAAGAAAUCACAAAAACAUUUUCCUGCACCUACUACACAGCCUGAGUGCGGCAUAAGUUGACCUUGCUUGCUAAGAAAUGGGGCAAGAAAUGCUUUUUUGUGUGUGUCAUGUCUGUUUGUUUUUCAAUUAAGAGAGGAAAGCAUUAGGCAGAUGGAAUGUACAUGUGAGGAUGAGGAGACAGAAAACAAGUAGCCCUUUCCAUCAAGAUAGAGGGUUUUCUGGGGUUGCUGGCUAUUGAAUGUCACUCCUGAUUUCUCUUUCCAAGGCACUGUACCACCAGCCUACUGAGAUUGUGUGGGAGCUUUCAUGGGGGUUGUAUUUCACUGAUGAAAAUAAAUUUUUUGCAUAAUGUGAA
ensembl:lncRNA MIR100HG mir-100-let-7a-2-mir-125b-1 cluster host gene